rnacentral:rRNA from 1 species
AACGAACGCUGGCGGCAUGCCUAACACAUGCAAGUCGAACGAGACCUUCGGGUCUAGUGGCGCACGGGUGCGUAACGCGUGGGAACCUGCCCUUAGGUUCGGAAUAACUCCCCGAAAGGGGUGCUAAUACCGGAUAAUGUCUUCGGACCAAAGAUUUAUCGCCUUUGGAUGGGCCCGCGUUGGAUUAGCUAGUUGGUAGGGUAAAAGCCUACCAAGGCGACGAUCCAUAGCUGGUUUGAGAGGAUGAGCAGCCACACUGGGACUGAGACACGGCCCAGACUCCUACGGGAAGCAGCAGUGGGGAAUAUUGGACAAUGGGCGAAAGCCUGAUCCAGCAAUGCCGCGUGAGUGAUGAAGGCCUUAGGGUUGUAAAGCUCUUUUACCCGGGAUGAUAAUGACAGUACCGGGAGAAUAAGCUCCGGCUAACUCCGUG